GAUGAACGCUGGCGGCGGGCCUAAUACAUGCAAGUCGAACGCUGAAGGAAUAAGCUUUCUCUUUCCGGGUGAGUGGCGAACGGGUGAGUGACGCGUACGUAACCUUCUUGUUAGUGGUGGAGAACUAUUUGAGACGACUUCCAAUACCGCAUAACACUAGCUGUUGCAUAAUGCCUACUUAAAUCGGGCAUUGCCACCACUACCAGAUCGACCUGCGUUGAGUUAGGUAGUUGGUGAGGUAACGGCUCACCAAGGCGACGGUACAUAGGCGAGCCGGAGGGGUGGUCGGGCAACAUGGGAACGGGACACGGGCCAGAAUCCUACGGGAGGGAGCAGUAGGGAAACAUCGGAAAUGGACGGAAGUCUGACCGAGCAACGCCGCGGGAGUGGAGAAGGUUUUCGGAUCGUAAAGGUCUGUUGUAAGAGAAGAACGAGUGUGAGGGUGGAAAGUUCACACUGUGACGGUAUCUUAAGAGAAAGGGACGGCUAACUACGUG
rnacentral:rRNA from 1 species